rnacentral:lncRNA from 10 species
GUCAUAAUGGCAAUGGUGCCUUAAUAUUUUACCUGGCAAAGCCACUUAGUUAUUAAGAUGAAUAACCAUAAGUCAUAAACUCAUAGGAAGCUAGGCACCAUUCAUGUACAUGUUUAGUGUACAAUUGGGGGUGGGGAAUGGAAAUGACAGCGAAGGGAAAGGAACAAAAAGGAAGAGAGGAUGAGGCAGAGAGCGGAGAAGAAGGUCUCUGAUGCUGAUCCUUAUUUUUCAGUGUGGACCAUGCACAGGUGCUGACCCUACCUGUACAUGGAUUAAGGAACUGGGCUCUUCCUAAUGACAAGAAGUGGGGGGCGGGUCAUGGGAUCCCAGCCUCAAUCACAAAAGCCUUAUCAGAAACCCAAGGCGACUGCUUUCUGGCAUUCACUCCUAGCAGAAGAGAGCAGCAGCACAGGGAAGAGACUCAUCUACUCACCUGAGGAUUAUGAGGAUUAUGAGUUUUAUGGAGCAAAAUUUGCCUAGAACAGGUUGUCAGCUUCUGUGGACACAGUCUUCUACCCUCAGAAAUCCCAUUGGAAGAAAGAACAAAUGAAGCAUCCCAAGGACUGGAGGAUUCUCUUCCCCCAGGGUAUUCAAGGAAGACACUGGGGAACAAAUUGAACAAAGUUUAUUUCAUCAACAAUGAAAAAUGCCCAGAAGGAAAUGAAGCACAAGAUUCAGUUACACAAAGAUGAAAGCUAUUGACCACUUGGCCACUUCUCAUACUAAAAGAGAAGGAAAUAACACGAAGUACUGGAAGUGACAUUAUAUUGUCCUCAUGGUGACAACCAGGAUGGGCCUGACAUAAGCCAGUCCAGGCUGUAUGUGUGGCCCGAGUGCACACAUGCGGUUUCUCUGGCCACCGAAUCAGAACCAGCUGGGCCCCACAAGUCAGUCUCUGGGGGCUGUGAUUCUGCAUUGCAAACAAGUCCUUGGGUAGCUCUCAGGGUUCACCAAGAUUUGAGAACCACUAGUGUGGCUGACUCCAGUGAAACAGUCCCACUUUUACUGCUUUCAACUGUCAUUUAUAUAGAUUCAGGCAAAGAAUGGUUUUUAGAAUGAUGCCCGAUGUAGCAAAUAAAAUGAUCUCAA